rnacentral:rRNA from 1 species
UACGGGGGGGGCAAGCGUUGUUCGGAAUUACUGGGCGUAAAGGGCGCGUAGGCGGCCUGCUAAGUCGGACGUGAAAUCCCUCGGCUCAACCGAGGAACUGCGUCCGAUACUGGUGGGCUUGAAUCCGGGAGAGGGAUGUGGAAUUCCAGGUGUAGCGGUGAAAUGCGUAGAUAUCUGGAGGAACACCAGUUGCGAAGGCGGCUGACUGGACACAUAUUGACGCUGAGGCUCGAAAGCAUGGGAGCAACAGG